GCUCUCGUAGCUCAGGUGGAUAGAGCGACGGUUUCCUAAACCGUAGGUCGCUGGUUCAAGUCCAGUCGAGGGUG
rnacentral:tRNA from 1 species